AUUGAACGCUGGCGGCAUGCCUUACACAUGCAAGUCGAACGGCAGCACGGGUGCUUGCACCUGGUGGCGAGUGGCGAACGGGUGAGUAAUACAUCGGAACAUGUCCUGUAGUGGGGGAUAGCCCGGCGAAAGCCGGAUUAAUACCGCAUACGAUCCACGGAUGAAAGCGGGGGACCUUCGGGCCUCGCGCUAUAGGGUUGGCCGAUGGCUGAUUAGCUAGUUGGUGGGGUAAAGGCCUACCAAGGCGACGAUCAGUAGCUGGGCUGAGAGGACGACCAGCCACACUGGGACUGAGACACGGCCCAGACUCCUACGGGAGGCAGCAGUGGGGAAUUUUGGACAAUGGGCGAAAGCCUGAUCCAGCAAUGCCGCGUGUGUGAAGAAGGCCUUCGGGUUGUAAAGCACUUUUGUCCGGAAAGAAAUCCUUGACUCUAAUACAGUCGGGGGAUGACGGUACCGGAAGAAUAAGCACCGGCUAACUACGUG
rnacentral:rRNA from 1 species